rnacentral:ribozyme from 14 species
GGAAAAGAAAAGGGAAAAGAAAAGGAAAAAGAAAAAGUAAAAAAAGCCUUUCA